CAAAGACUGGCUCUGUGGUAGAGCCUCUGCUUUGCAUGCAGAAGGUUGCAGGUUCGAUCCCAGGCGUCUUUGG